AAGAGUGAUGUGAAUGACAAACCUAAUUUCUUGUCGCCGUUCAUCUUCCACCUCUCUCAUACAUCUCUUUACUGCCACCGAUUGCAGCUCAUCUCCCGCCGGCGUCGCCGCUGCAAACAAUGUCAUUGUUGCUGCCUUCAACAAGCUCUGCGAUCUGGUUGCGCCUUCUCUGUCACUUCCAAUAGUAGGAAAAAAUAGAGAAUGCUUGCUCACUGAGUCGCGCCAGUAAAUCAGAUCUACCAAAAUGUUCGACGGCAUCUUUGGUCAGAGAUUCAUCGCGAAAUGGGAAAAAACUACUCACAAUGGAGAAGAAAGGGUCUCGCAGAUGGAUGAGCGGCGGUAGCAACAGGUUGGGCCUUGACAUUCUCAGUUGGGAAUUCUCCAAUCUAGCAGAAAAACUUACUUCAUGUGAUGUGGUAUCAAAGCGCGAACACUUCUAUCAGUGAUCUUAGCAACAACCACAUUGGAGGGCCCAUUCCAUUCACUUUGCCCCCUACUCUUACGAGCUUGUCUUGUUGCCCUUGAUAGUGAACCAUUUAAUGGCACAGUCUUUGUGAGCAAGAGCAAGUUCACCUUUGCAGCUGCAUUCCAUCUUCAGUGUCUCCCCUCUUUGAAGGAAGUAUAUAUCUCAUUUUUUAUCAUAGUAAAUUCAAACAACAAUUCCUUUUUAUUUUCUGUUAAAGGAUCAAAGCCAUACUGGUGGUAGGCAUUAUAACCUUAGGCAUACUAGACCCAAAAGAAAAUGCCUUAGCUAGUAAUUAUAACUAGAAAAAUUCUCUCAUGUCUUUAAAAUGUGUGUCGAAAUUGUCUAAAAGUGGCUAAUCAAUACUGUUGGGUUUACUUUUUAAGGUGGGAUCUAUUUUUUGUAUUUGUGUUAGGCAUGGCAGUAAUAGCUAGACACCUUAAAAUAUACCUUAUAUUUAUCUAUAUUUGUAAUAAGAUAAAAAAGAUAACUAGAAGUCUAUAUAUAACCUCAAAGGUGCAACUCCCCAAGGGUGCCAAUGCAAUAACAAUCAGAAAAUUAUUGAUUUAAAAUGGAAAGUAUUUGAGAUAAUCCUUGUCCAUAAUUAUUACAUUUUUAUUUUGAUUAUGAAACUUAGGUGGAUUUGCCAUUUAACUUGUCUACAUUGUUGGUAUAGAAAAAAAGUUAAUAUUACUUUUAAUCUAUUAUUUAAGACUUUCAAGUUUAGUUUUGUUCACUAUGUACCAAAAUAAAUAUACACAUAUACAGCCACGAUAUAUUUCUUUUGAGUUUUGAGAUUAGUUUUAAAAGGGAAAUAUAUCUUCUUAUUAAAGAAAUUUAUAUAGCAUGGAAAAAUGGUAAUCAUUUGCCAUUAAUAUUCUUUUGAAUUAUGUUAUAUAUUUGGGUCUGGCCACUUUAGUUGAUGAUAUAUAUAUAUAUCACAUGUGAACAUGUUCUAGCUAGCUAAUAAUACCGUGACUGUGCAUUGAUUAGAAAGUUUGGCUUUGUCAUGACUCUAGAUUCAUUAUUGAACUUUCAGUUAUAGAAAUCAGUUAUAUGUUUAUUAGUAUCCAUCAGUUGUAGAUCAUUUGCUGCUUCCAAAGUUUUUGUCAUUACUAACCUUUUUAGCUAAUUUAUUAUAAUUUUUUUGGAUGCUGAGAAUGUGAUCAAAUUAAUAACAAGUAUUAGAAUGCAUUGUUACUGUUAUAAACAAAUUAAAGUUGGUUAAAUUUCACUCAUUUAACUUUUUAAAAAUUGAGUUGUUUUGAAGCUGUGAUUCUCAGCUAUUUUGAGGUGUUAUAAACAAAUUAAAGUUGGUUAAAAUUUCACUCAAUUCACGUGGAAUUUUUUGUUUGAAAAGAAAUGAUAAACAGAUGACAGAUUUUAAAAGAAUGUCAAUUGGAUGGUGCUUAAUUUGAUUUUGAAUUUGCAGGAGCCUGUUUCCCAUGUUGUGGCUUGUCCCUCACCAAAUGAUAUUCUUGAGUGGCGUAAGCUUAUUUUAUAAUGUUAACUCUUUGCAAUCUUUUUUUUCCUUUUUGUCUGGGCAUUGAUUUUGAAAACUCAGAUUAUGUGUUGGAGGGAAUUGAAGGAAAGCCUUUUGCAGGUUUGUUAAUAUAGCAAUAGUUGAACAUUAGUAUCUCAAAUAUUUUAGUACUUUUUGUCUUUUGUCAUUUGAAAUAUUCCAAUCUAUGAACUCAUUAGCAUUUGAAUAUAAACAUGAUAAUAUCACCCGAUCCCACUAGGGAUACAAGACUUAGUUGUUGCCAAAUUGCCAUAUUGGGAAUUCAUGUAUCAAUGCUGUGGUAUUUACAGUUUUUUUUCCGUUGUCCUAUUUUUAAGUGGAUAUUACCAUGGAAAGAUCAAAUUUCUUCCAGAUUAUCCAUUCAAACUACCUGGAAUCAGGUGAUGCUUCUUGCUGCUGUACUAUUAUUUUAUUAGUGUUCAUUUCAGUUAUGUGGUUUAUUAUUAUAUUACCUAAGCAUAUGCUUUUGGUCAUAUAUAGCAUGAUUACACAUAAUGGACGGUUCAUAACAGAAAAAAAUAUCUACUAUUCUAUAUAUGACUAUAAGUUCUUUUGGUUUUAUCCAUUAGCAUAAAAUCAACUAGUACUGAGUUAUCCAUUUUGUUUCAAUUUUAUUUUUGCGGGCUUUUGUUGCUUUUGCAGUUUGUCCUGAAAGAUGGAGUCCUAUGUGUUGGGUAUCACGUGAAACAUUCAGAAAAAUGUCCUAGAGUAAUGUCAUGAGUAAUUCAGAAAAAUGUCCCAAGACACAUCGGCAGCUGCAAAUUUCUCCCGAGUCAAGUCGGCAGCAGCUGCAAAUUGGUAGUAUCUUCAUAUGGAAUUGAAUCAAGAGAGUGAGAUUUUAUCACCAAAAGACUUAGGAAGUAGGUCAUCUGGAGCAAGCAACAGCGCAGCAUGAAAUAUGAUGGAGAUUUUAUGUAUUAAGAGUUACAUGUUAUGACAUUUAUAGUUGAAAAAUUAUGUUAUGUUUGAUACUUUGUAUAAGAGUUAUUACUUUUGAUUUCCAAUACUAAAAAAUCAUAUAUUAUGUUUAAUACUUUGUUUAUGAGUUAUAUAAUAUUUUGUUUA